rnacentral:rRNA from 1 species
ACGCUCGACACCUACGGGGCAGCAGUGAGGAAUAUUGGUCAAUGGGCGCAGGCCUGAACCAGCCAAGUAGCGUGAAGGAUGACUGCCCUAUGGGUUGUAAACUUCUUUUAUAUGGGAAUAAAGUUUUCCACGUGUGGAAUUUUGUAUGUACCAUAUGAAUAAGGAUCGGCUAACUCCGUGUCAGCAGCCGCGGUAAUCUGAGGCGGGCUGGCAAGGC